UUGCACAAUGGGCGCAAGCCUGAUGCAGCGACGCCGCGUGAGGGAAGACGGUCUUCGGAUUGUAAACCUCUGUCUUCGGGGACGAAAGAUGACGGUACCCGAGGAGGAAGCCACGGCUAACUACGUGCCAGCAGCCGCGGUAAUACGUAGGUGGCAAGCGUUAUCCGGAUUUACUGGGUGUAAAGGGCGUGUAGGCGGGCUGGCAAGUCAGAUGUGAAAACCAUGGGCUCAACCCAUGGCCUGCAUUUGAAACUGUUGGUCUUGAGUGCUGGAGAGGCAAUCGGAAUUCCGUGUGUAGCGGUGAAAUGCGUAGAUAUACGGAGGAACACCAGUGGCGAAGGCGGAUUGCUGGACAGUAACUGACGCUGAGGCGCGAAAGCGUGGGGAG
rnacentral:rRNA from 1 species